rnacentral:rRNA from 1 species
GAUGAACGCUGGCGGCGUGCCUAAUACAUGCAAGUCGAGCGAACAGACGAGGAGCUUGCUCCUCUGACGUUAGCGGCGGACGGGUGAGUAACACGUGGAUAACCUACCUAUAAGACUGGGAUAACUUCGGGAAACCGGAGCUAAUACCGGAUAAUAUAUUGAACCGCAUGGUUCAAUAGUGAAAGACGGUUUUGCUGUCACUUAUAGAUGGAUCCGCGCCGCAUUAGCUAGUUGGUAAGGUAACGGCUUACCAAGGCAACGAUGCGUAGCCGACCUGAGAGGGUGAUGGGCCACACUGGAACUGAGACACGGUCCAGACUCCUACGGGAGGCAGCAGUAGGGAAUCUUCCGCAAUGGGCGAAAGCCUGACGGAGCAACGCCGCGUGAGUGAUGAAGGUCUUCGGAUCGUAAAACUCUGUUAUUAGGGAAGAACAAAUGUGUAAGUAACUAUGCACGUCUUGACGGUACCUAAUCAGAAAGCAACGGCUAACUACGUG